AGAAGGGCUUCCGCGCGGAGACGUUCGGGGGCCUUUUUCUUUUGC
rfam:Mesorhizobium sp. TASWS1009 34, whole genome shotgun sequence.